UACGAAGGGGGCUAGCGUUGUUCGGAAUUACUGGGCGUAAAGCGGAUGCAGGCGGACUUUUAAGUCGGGGGUGAAAUCCCGAGGCUCAACCUCGGAACUGCCUUCGAUACUGGAAGUCUUGAGUCCGGGAGAGGUGAGUGGAACUCCGAGUGUAGAGGUGAAAUUCGUAGAUAUUCGGAAGAACACCAGUGGCGAAGGCGGCUCACUGGCCCGGUACUGACGCUGAGAUACGAAAGCGUGGGGAGCAAACAGG
rnacentral:rRNA from 1 species